rnacentral:rRNA from 1 species
AGCUUGCUCUGUGGGAUCAGUGGCGAACGGGUGAGUAACACGUGAGCAACCUGCCCCUGACUCUGGGAUAAGCGCUGGAAACGGUGUCUAAUACUGGAUACGAGUAGCGGCCGCAUGGUCAGUUACUGGAAAGAAUUUCGGUUGGGGAUGGGCUCGCGGCCUAUCAGCUUGUUGGUGAGGUAAUGGCUCACCAAGGCGUCGACGGGUAGCCGGCCUGAGAGGGUGACCGGCCACACUGGGACUGAGACACGGCCCAGACUCCUACGGGAGGCAGCAGUGGGGAAUAUUGCACAAUGGGCGCAAGCCUGAUGCAGCAACGCCGCGUGAGGGAUGACGGCCUUCGGGUUGUAAACCUCUUUUAGCAGGGAAGAAGCGAAAGUGACGGUACCUGCAGAAAAAGCGCCGGCUAACUACGUGCCAGCAGCCGCGGUAAUACGUAGGGCGCAAGCGUUAUCCGGAAUUAUUGGGCGUAAAGAGCUCGUAGGCGGUUUGUCGCGUCUGCUGUGAAAUCCCGAGGCUCAACCUCGGGCCUGCAGUGGGUACGGGCAGACUAGAGUGCGGUAGGGGAGAUUGGAAUUCCUGGUGUAGCGGUGGAAUGCGCAGAUAUCAGGAGGAACACCGAUGGCGAAGGCAGAUCUCUGGGCCGUAACUGACGCUGAGGAGCGAAAGGGUGGGGAGCAAACAGGCUUAGAUACCCUGGUAGUCCACCCCGUAAACGUUGGGAACUAGUUGUGGGGUCCAUUCCACGGAUUCCGUGACGCAGCUAACGCAUUAAGUUCCCCGCCUGGGGAGUACGGCCGCAAGGCUAAAACUCAAAGGAAUUGACGGGGACCCGCACAAGCGGCGGAGCAUGCGGAUUAAUUCGAUGCAACGCGAAGAACCUUACCAAGGCUUGACAUAUACGAGAACGGGCCAGAAAUGGUCAACUCUUUGGACACUCGUAAACAGGUGGUGCAUGGUUGUCGUCAGCUCGUGUCGUGAGAUGUUGGGUUAAGUCCCGCAACGAGCGCAACCCUCGUUCUAUGUUGCCAGCACGUAAUGGUGGGAACUCAUGGGAUACUGCCGGGGUCAACUCGGAGGAAGGUGGGGAUGACGUCAAAUCAUCAUGCCCCUUAUGUCUUGGGCUUCACGCAUGCUACAAUGGCCGGUACAAAGGGCUGCAAUACCGCGAGGUGGAGCGAAUCCCAAAAAGCCGGUCCCAGUUCGGAUUGAGGUCUGCAACUCGACCUCAUGAAGUCGGAGUCGCUAGUAAUCGCAGAUCAGCAACGCUGCGGUGAAUACGUUCCCGGGUCUUGUACACACCGCCCGUCAAGUCAUGAAUUUCGGUAACACCUGAAGCCGGUGGCCUAACC